GGAAGCAGGCUGAAUGAUCGCUGGCGCAGGCAAAAGCUAAGCGCGAGAGGAAAGUCCGAGCUCCACAGGGCAGGAUGCUGGUUAACUGCCAGCGAGGGUGACCUCGGGAAAGUGCCACAGAAAAUACACCGCCACGGUUCGGCCGUGGCAAGGGUGAAAAGGUGAGGUAAGAGCUCACCAGGUCCGGUGGUGACGCCGGAGGCUUGGUAAACCCCAUCCGGAGCAAGACCAAAUAGAGGGGUGUUUGAGGGUGGCCCGCCCGAAAUCCCAGGGUAGGUUGCUUGAGAGGCCGGGGAACCGGUCUCCUAGAUUAAUGAUCAUUACCCCGCUUCCGGGCGACCGGAGCGGGGAACAGAACUCGGCUUACAGGCCCCUUCCUGAG
rnacentral:RNase_P_RNA from 1 species